UACGGGGGGGGCAAGCGUUGUUCGGAAUUACUGGGCGUAAAGGGCUCGUAGGUGGCCAACUAAGUCAGACGUGAAAUCCCUCGGCUUAACCGGGGAACUGCGUCUGAUACUGGAUGGCUUGAGUUCGGGAGAGGGAUGCGGAAUUCCAGGUGUAGCGGUGAAAUGCGUAGAUAUCUGGAGGAACACCGGUGGCGAAGGCGGCAUCCUGGACCGCCACUGACGCUGAGGAGCGAAAGCCAGGGGAGCAAACGGG
rnacentral:rRNA from 1 species